CCAAAUGAAGGAUGAUCCAGAUGAAGCCACGUGGUGCUAACCAAGCACAUCGAACGAUGCUAAUGGAGAAAUACCAUAAGGAACAACUGAGAUGGCUUGAUUUGCUCCAAUGGCUACAAUGUUAGCUAGACCCAGCAUAAAAGGAGAAACGGGUUACGAGGGAAACAUAGGAGGGAGAGGAGAGUGAGAGCAGAGAGUACAAUUGAAGGGAACAUAAAUAAGGAAUUAAAGGAAGAUUUAAGAGGAGAGCCUUCAUUGAAAGCCAGCAAAGAGGGGAAAGUCUGAGAGAACAGCUGCUAGAAUGAAUGCAAAUGGAAGCUAAAGGUAAGACGAAUCUGAAUUUCAACAUCACAAUUGAGAUUCAUAUUUUAAAUAUCUUCUUAUGGAGAAUGUAUGCAUGAUUUGGUAGCUUAAUCGGAUGGUGGAAAAUUACAUCAUGCAUCAUCAGGGGUUACACCCAAAAUGUGUAUAUAUAGAUAUAUACAUAUAUAUAAUUGUGUAAUGAUGUAGCAAGAGAGUAAUGGGAGUAGGGUGAAAGAAGUUCUUGGUAGACGGGGGAUGGGUAAACGGAGGUAAAUCGAAAUAUAAGUACUAUCCUACAUUGAUGAGAAGAUUAGAUCUGUAUAGAAGUGAAAGAAGUGGAAGAAGAAGAUUCAUGAGAAAUAAGGGAAACAACGAAGAGGGUGAUGAGGUAAGGAAAGAAAAAGGAGUGGGUCAUCUUUGGAGAGGAUUGGGUAUUAGGAUAAUAGACCUUCUAAAAAAAAAACCCCGGUACCAUACUGAAGUACUGGUAAACCUUAAGAAAAAAUGGGACUGGACGAUGGUUAGACAGAGCAUAAAAAGGGAAAUUCGUCAUAUGUGAUUCUGGAAAUUUUUUACAAUGCUUGUGUGAAGUGUGUGCUGUGCAAGUAGUUGUGAGUAUGUGUAUGGCCUAAUAUGGGUCGGAUAUUUCAUUGUUCCUUGCUAUACCACCUGCUGAUUUUCUUACUGUUUUAAUCUAUUGCCUUGAUAUAAAUUGUUGAAAAUUAUUAAAUAAAAGAAUGGCCAAUGGUUGAUCGAAAGGUAUAUGACACCGGGUUGUGUGAGUGGCCAAAUAGUGGUCGAACAUUGUAUCAUCCUCUAGUCACAACAUCUGUUGUUUCUUCUCCCUAUUUUUAUGGUAUUGCUCAUUGAAAAUAAAUGUUGGCCAAUGGUUGGUCGAAAGGUGUGUGACACUGGAUUUAUAAUCUGUUGUUGUUUAAAUUUUGACUGGGACAAAUCGUCCGCCAAGUAGAAUGUUAUGAUGUGGUGUGUGUGUGGUCAAAUAAUGGUCGUCUAGAAAAAUAAUAUUGUGCUUGGCACUAAACAUAAAAUGUUAUACACAUGAGAUGAAAGGGAUAGAGGUGGAAGAGUUAAGAAAUUGCAGGUAUGCGAAGAAUAAAAUAGUGUGAAUUGCUCCAUGAUAAAUAUGACUCUAUUUAUUGUUGGUGCCUGUAGGUUGAAGGCAAACUGGGUAUGGAAAUACUGUAGGAGGGGAGUGGAUAAUUGUGGGUCAUAAAAGAAAGGAAGGAACAAUAUUUAAAUAAACCAUAGACUGUAGAGUGGGAAAAGAAAUAUGUUGUUUAAGAUGAAUUUAGAGAGAAAAGUGGGACCGGGAAUAGUAUGGAACAUGGGGAUAUCUUGUAGUUGAUUUGAAGAGGGAACUGAGGACAGGGUAGAAACGAGCAAAAAGAAGAAUAAGAUAAGAAGAGGGUAGAGGACUAUUGUCCAUAUAGAUUUUGAGGAAGGUUGGUAAAACCCAGAACACUAACAGAAUAAAGAUAUGGGCUGGCAGGAGUGGGAAAGACCUAGAGGAGGGAGAACUUUGUCUUAGGAAUUUUAUUGAUUUUAACACGCUGUUUUAAAUUUAAAUUUGAAUUACUGGGCAUGUGUAGGCUCAUUACUGUUUGUUUGUACAUACUGUGAAGCAUGAACCAGUAUAGGAAUUACAACCAGUGGAGCUGAAUAUAUAAAGAAAUAGAAAAAGGAAAUAGACAGCAUUGACAGUAAGUUACACACACCGAUACAGUAGUUAAAUUUUUACAUACACGUGUAAGUACACUAUUGUUACUCUCUAGAUAAUAGUACGAAUGAUUUGAGAUACGUGUGCAAGCACGUGGAGAAGGUUUUGCUCCUUUUUAUAUACACGUGUAAUGGACAUUUUAGUUAAAUAAAUCUAGGAAGUUUUUUGAAGUGAAGAUGGUUGUGAUGAUCUGUAGUUGAAACUAGGACGCCUCUACCAUUAUAGGUUAGGGUUUGUAACAUUAUAAACUAUAAACUAAAAGUUGAUACGGUCACAACAUAUAGCACCUUAUGAGUCUUCCAAAUGAUUGUAUACUUGUACAAACUUUACUUUGUAAUAUCAACUUAACUUAUUACUAAUCUUAUAAGUUUAAUUAAUAUGAUAAAUUUGUAAGUUUUUUAAGUUAGUUUUAACUUAUUAGUAAUCUUGUAAGAAAUUUUAAACGAUAAUUAUAUAUAAAAAAAAAAUUAUUCUACCGUAUGGUCUAUUAGAGCUUAAAAAUAAAAAAUUUAUCCGCUUUGGAAGUUUUCUACUCAAGUAAUUAAUUUGUUCUCUCUUUCUCUUAGCUCACAAUCAACAUUUUUUUUCCUCGCAUUAUGUUGUCUAUAAAUUUUCAACUUAAUUUUUAGUCUUAAAACUAAUUUUUAGUCUGAAAUUUUUCUUCACAUUAUAUAUAAAUGGAUGUAUAUAAAUAUAUAAGAGGGAAUUAUCAAUUAACAUUAAGUUGGUGGGAUUGGUGGCAUAGAAAUGCAAUUAGCAAUUCAAUGUGUACUAUUCCAAAACGUUAAAUCUUGUGAUAAAAUGACUAUCUAUCAUUUGUCACACAACUUUUAUAGAGAGAAUAAAUAUGUGCAAGAUCUCUUAUUUGUAUAAAAGUGAAAAAUCAUUCAAUUUUUUAUUUAUCUCACAACUUUUAUGGGCAUAAGGAAUACCUACAAGAUCUCCUAUUUGUAUAGAAGUACAAAAUGAAACACUACAAGCUUGUUGUAAACCUAAAUAACAAAUCAAGGCUCAUUGGUGGAAAGUAGCAGUUCCAUCGAAGCGAGUUCAUUACCUACACAAGGUGUAAAAAGGAUCGACAAUUUCACCUUUGAACUAUUAAGGAUUACAAGCUCGACCAUGAUGCUUUGGCUAAUAAAAGGUGAAGGUGCCCCAACUGGCGUUAUGAGAAAUAAAUUUUUAUCAUUAUUUUAGUUGUAUAUCUAUAUAUUUAUGUGUAAAUUCACUACAUGUUAUGUUGAGUAAUGUGUAUAUAUAUAUUUCUAAAUGAUAAACUGUGAUGCUCAUGAAGGAAGGACAAGUCAAAAAACUCGCAGAGGGUGUACAAGAGAUCCAAAAUGCAGAAUGCACCUCUUAUGUCUACUUUCGUUGCUACAAGUAUCGCUUUAGGGGUUGUCAAUGUCACACCUGCAUUUAUUAUAUGCAUAAUGCACAGUGCUAAUCUCCCCUAGUCAUCACUCUGGCUCAAUAAUUGUGAAGAUUUAAAGUUUUAUCUUUCAGACUUUAUGUUGACUAUAUGUAAAUUUUAGAAAGCAUGAUCAUGUUUUUUAAUUAAUGGCCCAAGCUUAAUCACCA
rnacentral:lncRNA from 1 species